CAUUGACAUCGCACAUUCGCACAGUGUAGCUGACGCCGACGUGUAGUAGAUAUAUUAUACUAUAUAGCUAAAAUACAUCACGAUGAUAUCAGUGACGGUGGCGAAUCGUACCUUAUUAUAAUUUUUAAUAUGUAAAAUAUUGUGUUCGCAAUCCACCGGGAGACGGCCGUGUUUUCGAAAUGUAAACGCCAAACAUACGUACUACAUGCCAUGCAAAGAUUUCAAAAAUCAGAAGGAAAAAUAGCUAUUGACAAGGACAAACAGUAGUGUAUGUAUAAAUUUAACAUGACCCCUAAAAGUUGGGAACGUUUAAAGUUGAAAAUCAAGUUCUAAAUAUAAUGAAUUUCACAAUAAGGAAGAAAAUGUGCAAUGAACAUUUUUCACAUAAUAUUAGGUAAUGAAUCAUUGCUUUUAAAUAUUUUUAACAUAAAUUGACAAACAUAAUUAAAUUAUGAAAUCUUAGAUAAUUCUAUUAGAUUAGCGUAGGACACUUUUAGACCUGACACUAUAAUAAAUUCAUCUGUCCAAAGCCAACAGUUAUAGAUAUUUUUUCAUUUUAAGCUCAUGCAAAGAAAGAAGAGAUUCCCAAAUUUAUAAAUUUAACAUCAGGAUAAAUAAAUAUUGCUCUGACAUUCUCUUAAUAAAAGAAGGGACAAAAAUAUUAUACAAUAUAUGUUAUGUAUACAAUAUACAUAACCAUUAUUAUAUUCAUAUAUAUAUUCCUCAAUAUAUGUUACAGAAUUCUA